GCGCAAGCGACGUUCAACCUCAGAAGAAGCAGAGGGGGCUUAGUGGUGGGGUGACUGCGUACCUUUUGUAUAAUGGGUCAGCGACUUAUAUUCUGUAGCAAGGUUAACCGCAUAGGGGAGCCGAAGGGAAACCGAGUCUUAAUUGGGCGUUAAGUUGCAGGGUAUAGACCCGAAACCCGGUGAUCUAGCCAUGGGCAGGUUGAAGGUUGGGUAACACUAACUGGAGGACCGAACCGACUAAUGUUGAAAAAUUAGCGGAUGACCUGUGGCUGGGGGUGAAAGGCCAAUCAAACCGGGAGAUAGCUGGUUCUCCCCGAAAGCUAUUUAGGUAGCGCCUCGUGAACUCAUCUCCGGGGGUAGAGCACUGUUUCGGCUAGGGGGCCAUCCCGGCUUACCAACCCGAUGCAAACUGCGAAUACCGGAGAAUGUUAUCACGGGAGACACACGGCGGGUGCUAACGUCCGUCGUGAAGAGGGAAACAACCCAGACCGCCAGCUAAGGUCCCAAAGUCAUGGUUAAGUGGGAAACGAUGUGGGAAGGCCCAGACAGCCAGGAUGUUGGCUUAGAAGCAGCCAUCAUUUAAAGAAAGCGUAAUAGCUCACUGGUCGAGUCGGCCUGCGCGGAAGAUGUAACGGGGCUAAACCAUGCACCGAAGCUGCGGCAGCGACACUGUGUGUUGUUGGGUAGGGGAGCGUUCUGUAAGCCGUUGAAGGUAUCCUGUGAGGGGUGCUGGAGGUAUCAGAAGUGCGAAUGCUGACAUAAGUAACGAUAAAGCGGGUGAAAAGCCCGCUCGCCGGAAGACCAAGGGUUCCUGUCCAACGUUAAUCGGGGCAGGGUGAGUCGACCCCUAAGGCGAGGCCGAAAGGCGUAGUCGAUGGGAAACGGGUUAAUAUUCCCGUACUUGGUGUUACUGCGAAGGGGGGACGGAGAAGGCUAUGUUGGCCGGGCGACGGUUGUCCCGGUUUAAGCGUGUAGGUGUGUGUUCCAGGUAAAUCCGGUUCACUUUAACACUGAGGCGUGAUGACGAGGCACCACGGUGCUGAAGCAACAAAUGCCCUGCUUCCAGGAAAAGCCUCUAAGCAUCAGGUAACAUCAAAUCGUACCCCAAACCGACACAGGUGGUCAGGUAGAGAAUACCAAGGCGCUUGAGAGAACUCGGGUGAAGGAACUAGGCAAAAUGGUGCCGUAACUUCGGGAGAAGGCACGCUGACACGUAGGUGAAGUGAUUUACUCAUGGAGCUGAAGUCAGUCGAAGAUACCAGCUGGCUGCAACUGUUUAUUAAAAACACAGCACUGUGCAAACACGAAAGUGGACGUAUACGGUGUGACGCCUGCCCGGUGCCGGAAGGUUAAUUGAUGGGGUCAGCGCAAGCGAAGCUCCUGAUCGAAGCCCCGGUAAACGGCGGCCGUAACUAUAACGGUCCUAAGGUAGCGAAAUUCCUUGUCGGGUAAGUUCCGACCUGCACGAAUGGCGUAAUGAUGGCCAGGCUGUCUCCACCCGAGACUCAGUGAAAUUGAACUCGCUGUGAAGAUGCAGUGUACCCGCGGCAAGACGGAAAGACCCCGUGAACCUUUACUAUAGCUUGACACUGAACAUUGAGCCUUGAUGUGUAGGAUAGGUGGGAGGCUUUGAAGCGUGGACGCCAGUCUGCGUGGAGCCGACCUUGAAAUACCACCCUUUAAUGUUUGAUGUUCUAACGUGGACCCGUAAUCCGGGUUGCGGACAGUGUCUGGUGGGUAGUUUGACUGGGGCGGUCUCCUCCUAAAGAGUAACGGAGGAGCACGAAGGUUGGCUAAUCCUGGUCGGACAUCAGGAGGUUAGUGCAAUGGCAUAAGCCAGCUUGACUGCGAGCGUGACGGCGCGAGCAGGUGCGAAAGCAGGUCAUAGUGAUCCGGUGGUUCUGAAUGGAAGGGCCAUCGCUCAACGGAUAAAAGGUACUCCGGGGAUAACAGGCUGAUACCGCCCAAGAGUUCAUAUCGACGGCGGUGUUUGGCACCUCGAUGUCGGCUCAUCACAUCCUGGGGCUGAAGUAGGUCCCAAGGGUAUGGCUGUUCGCCAUUUAAAGUGGUACGCGAGCUGGGUUUAGAACGUCGUGAGACAGUUCGGUCCCUAUCUGCCGUGGGCGCUGGAAGACUGAGGGGGGCUGCUCCUAGUACGAGAGGACCGGAGUGGACGCAUCACUGGUGUUCGGGUUGUCAUGCCAAUGGCACUGCCCGGUAGCUAAAUGCGGAAAAGAUAAGUGCUGAAAGCAUCUAAGCACGAAACUUGCCCCGAGAUGAGUCUUCCCUGAGACCUUGAGUCUCCUGAAGGAACGUUAAAGACGAUGACGUUGAUAGGCCGGGUGUGUAAGCGCAGCGAUGCGUUGAGCUAACCGGUACUAAUGAACCGUGAGGCUUAACCUUACAACGCCGAAG
rnacentral:rRNA from 1 species